ACGUACACUCCUGCGGGAGGCAGCAGUGGGGAAUAUUGGACAAUGGGCGCAAGCCUGAUCAAGCCAUGCCGCGUGAGUGAUGAAGGCCCUAGGGUUGUAAAGCUCUUUCACCGGUGAAGAUAAUGACGGUAACCGGAGAAGAAGCCCCGGCUAAAUUCGUGCCAGCAGCCGCGGUAAUACGAAGGGGGCUAGCGUUGUUCGGAUUUACUGGGCGUAAAGCGCACGUAGGCGGACUAUUAAGUCAGGGGUGAAAUCCCGGGGCUCAACCCCGGAACUGCCUUUGAUACUGGUAGUCUUGAGUUCGAGAGAGGUGAGUGGAAUUCCGAGUGUAGAGGUGAAAUUCGUAGAUAGUCGGAGGAACACCAGUGGCGAAGGCGGCUCACUGGCUCGAUACUGACGCUGAGGUGCGAAAGCGUGGGGAGCAAACAGGAUUAGAAACCCGUGUAGUCCCAUGAU
rnacentral:rRNA from 1 species